rfam:Salmo salar isolate Sally breed double haploid chromosome ssa27, whole genome shotgun sequence.
AGUUGCCCUGACUGUAAGUCGCUCUGGAUAAGAGUGUCUGCUAAAUGACUACAA